GGGGGACCCGGGGGACCCGGCGGCUGCGGAGGGGUGAGUGGGGAGUCGUGGGCAGCCCCGUCCCGGGGUGUGCGGGUCGGGGUGUCCCGGGACUGUGGACACUCGAGGGUGGGAUGGGGGGCGGUCCCGGUCCCUCCCGUCGGGGGCGGCCGCUGGGCCCGAGGCGGGACGGGUACAGGAACGGGCGCACCGGUACCGGCACUGACACCGACCCGCGGUACCGGGAUCAUGGCGGGGCUGGCGCGGUGCCAGCGCGAGGCCGAGGAGGUGGCGGAGCUGAUGCGACAGAACGUGGUGCGGGCGCUGGAGCGGGAGGGACACCUGGAGCAGCUGCAGAGCCGUGCCCAGGACCUGCGACAAGCGAGCGAAGCCUUCACCCGCACCACGCAGACGGUGACGCGGCGCCAGCGCAGGAGACACCGGCGGUGGCACCUGGUAGCCCUGGGCAUUGGCCUCCUCCUCCUCUUCAUCCUGGGUCUGGCACUGGCGCUGGCCCUGGCACGGUCAUCCCCCGGGACUGGCACCAGCACUGUCCCCACCCCACAGGGGGGGACCAAGCGCCCCCCCAGCACUGCGGGGACCCCGUGACAGAGCAGGGGACACCCCAUGACAAAUAAACACCAGGAGCUGCUUGGGGAGACCCAGAAGAACAAUAAUGAACCACUGGGAUGAUCUCCAAGGAGACUUUACAAUAAAUAAACUCCAAGAUCUGCUUUGGAGAGACCC
rnacentral:lncRNA from 1 species